rnacentral:rRNA from 1 species
AAGUAGCCCUGUUUAAGUGUGUGGAGUACAGAUUAAGAUUCUUGAAAAACUAAGCAUAUGGCGGCAAAAGACAUUAACAGAGAAGUAUGCUCGUAAUCGAAAUUGCACGAUAUAUCUUUCCAAGUCUUGAUUAAACAUUUUGUACACAGCCGUCGGAAGAAUAAAUUUAACAUUUUGUUCCUUUCCUUCAGAAUUUAAGGAUUAAGUCAGGUCAAUGUGCAGACUAAGGUUUGGUUUAGGUGUACCUCAUUAUUAAUGAUAAAGCAGUCCUAAAACUAAACUAUCAGAAUUGAAUUUAGGUAGUAGAAUUUGUAAGUAAAAAUAAUUUAAAAUAUUCUUUUGAAUUUUUCUCUCUUGUGU